rnacentral:rRNA from 1 species
UACGUAGGGUGCAAGCGUUGUUCGGAAUUACUGGGCGUAAAGGACGCGUAGGCGGGCCUGUAAGUUAGUUGUGAAAUCCCCGGGCUUAACCCGGGACGUGCAACUAAAACUGCAUGGUCUUGAGUAUUGGAGAGGAUGGCGGAAUUCCAGGUGUAGAAGUGAAAUUCGUAGAUAUCUGGAAGAACACCGGAGGCGAAGGCGGCUGUCUGGCCAAAUACUGACGCUAAGGCGUGAAAGCAUGGGGAUCAAACAGG